UGACCUCAAAUCAGGUAGGACUACCCGCUGAACUUAAGCAUAUCAAUAAGCGGAGGAAAAGAAACUAACAAGGAUUCCCCUAGUAACUGCGAGUGAAGCGGGAAAAGCUCAAAUUUAAAAUCUGUCAGUCUUUGGCUGUCCGAGUUGUAAUCUAGAGAAGUGUUAUCUGCGCUGGACCGUGUACAAGUCUCCUGGAAUGGAGCGUCAUAGAGGGUGAGAAUCCCGUCUCUGACACGGACUGCCAGGGCUUUGUGAUGCGCUCUCAAAGAGUCGAGUUGUUUGGGAAUGCAGCUCAAAAUGGGUGGUAAAUUCCAUCUAAAGCUAAAUAUUGGCGAGAGACCGAUAGCGAACAAGUACCGUGAGGGAAAGAUGAAAAGAACUUUGGAAAGAGAGUUAAACAGUACGUGAAAUUGCUGAAAGGGAAACGCUUGAAGUCAGUCGCGUUGUCCAGGGAUCAACCUUGCUUUUGCUUGGUGUACUUUCUGGUUAACGGGUCAGCAUCAAUUUUGAUCAUUGGAAAAAAGUUAGAGGAAUGUGGCAUCUUCGGAUGUGUUAUAGCCUUUGAUUGCAUACAAUGGUUAGGAUUGAGGAACUCAGCACGCCGCAAGGCCGGGUUUUUAACCACGUACGUGCUUAGGAUGC
rnacentral:rRNA from 2 species